CUGUGAACAGGUGCAGCAAAAGGGAAAAAGCAAAUCGAAAUUUGUAGCCGAUUUCAGCAGUGCUAUGUGUAUUUGAUUAUUAGUCUCUAUUCAAAUGUGGUGGUGGUGUUGCAUUUUCCUUACCAAAUACUAACAGAGUGCUUUCUUUGCAGCACUCUGUAGAACUGUUGCACCAGAGUCUUCUGAUACGGUGACCUAGUAGAUCAUGCUUCAAUAUAAAGCUUGGGCUGUCACUCUAAUCCUUCUCCUUGCAAAUACCCUUACUGAAGUUGACACUAAAGCCAUCUCAAAGAGGCAUGUCCAAUAUGAUUUGAUGAUCAUACCUGACGCAAUUGCAUUUUAUGCGUUCGAUGCUGUGAACAAAGUAUCUCCUAAAACUGCUGAGUUCUUGUAUGGUGCUUUCCAGAAUCCAAUCAUCCUUGAGACGAGGAACUUCUUGAUAAAGACAACAACUGAAAUCAAUCGAGCAUUUCAACAACUGGUAGAAAAUAUACAUGGUUUAUGGACAAAGGAAGAAGCAGAACCAGCACAGCACUAGGACCUAAAUGAAUUUGUGGAGUGGCCUCUUCCUUGUAUUCAUCAGUGGAUCAUAUUGUGCAGAGGGUUAUUUUGGGUGAACAGUGCCAAGCGUCCAGUGUAAGAUUUUGGGCUGCUUUCCACUGAAUUGCAAUUAUUGUUUGUGCUGCCAAGAUCAUAUAUGACCAGUUCCUUUGACGAUAUAUUUACAUUGGUAUCAUCGAAAAAUAUUCAGUCACAUGACUUCCAGUGCCUCGCAAAGCAUCAGAAGUCACGUCCAAGGCUUUGUGGGGCCUUGUAGGUGGAGUCUAAGGUCUCACAGGGCCUUGGACAUGACUUCCGGGGUUCCCAGGCACCGCUGCGGAGCUCACAAGGUGAUGUCAUGGCUCAAUGUGAGGCCAGGAUGUCACAUUAUAUCGUAGACCACUGGGCACCCAUAAUCUGGGGCCUAAGUCGGCACCCCUGGAUCCAGCAGAAGUCAAGCAUGGCGCUCUCUCUCUCUCUCUC